rnacentral:lncRNA from 1 species
GACUCCUAGCAGCGAAAAAUACUUUUGGAUUCUUUUUUUUGUAUUUUUCGUUUUUAUAUCAAUUUCACUCACUAAUCUCCCCUCAAGCUAUAAAGAAAAUUAAUUAAAGAAAAAACACAAAUCCGUUGUGGCAAAACUAAACUUGGAUAAUUUGAUUCAUUCAGGUUCGACUCUUAGCAGUGAAAAAUACUUUUGGAUUCUUUUUUUUGUAUUUUUCGAUUUUAUAUCCAUUUCACUCACUAAUCUCCCCUCAAGCUAUAAAUAAAAUUAUUUAAAGAAAAAACUCAAAUCCGCUAUAGCAAAACUAAACUUUGCUAAUUUGUUCAUCCAAGUUCGCAUCUUGGCAGCGGAAAAUACUUUUGGAUUCUUUUUUU